UACAGAGGGUGCGAGCGUUAAUCGGAAUUACUGGGCGUAAAGCGUGCGUAGACGGUUAUUUAAGUCGGGUGUGAAAGCCCCGGGCUCAACCUGGGAAUUGCAUUCGAGACUGAAUAGCUAGGGUACGGUAGAGGGAAGCGGAAUUUCCGGUGUAGCAGUGAAAUGCGUAGAUAUCGGAAGGAACAUCAGUGGCGAAAGCGGCUUCCUGGACCAGUACCGACGUUCAGGCACGAAAGCGUGGGGAGCAAACAGG
rnacentral:rRNA from 1 species